GCAGAUGCACAGUUGAUCUUGAAAAGGUUCUGGAAACGCUGGAGGAUCAGGAGUUGAAGGAGAACGUGGAGGUGAUGAAGAACCUGCAGGACUUGAUUUUGGAGCUAAAGAACGAGAGCGCAGGCAUGGCCGCCUCCCUCAAUGCCAUGACUGCAGGGGAGGAACCUCCUGAGGCUUCUGGGAACGGUGGCAAGAAUUCAGCCGACACAUCCCCCGCAGACGCUGCAGCCAUGAGGGACUCUCCGGAGGC